UAUCUCUCCUAAUUCAACGUUUGUUGGAAUAGGGACUUGGGGUCUUUCUCGUCAGCAACUUUAACUAGUUAAUGGUGAACCCUUUAAAUAUAGCAAGCUCCCAUCUUUUAUCGGAAAUACGCAAACUUGGGGAUGGCGUCGUAGCAAUCACUCUUAUCAGUAUUGUCGAAGCGCCUAUAUCAUACCUCUAAUCUGCGGUGCUAAUCCUUUUUCAGUGGGCGAAGCUUGGCGACUGGCAAAGUGCCAUGCUCCCUUUCUUGGAGUACACGAACAA
rnacentral:misc_RNA from 1 species